rnacentral:rRNA from 1 species
UGAAUACGAGAUGCUACGGCGUCGAAGCAGUCUAUGUCAUACUUCCAAGAAAAGCUUGCACUGUCAUAAACAAAUAAUGCCUGUACCAUAACCGACACAGGUGGGUAGGUAGAGUAUACUAAGGGGCGCGAGAUAACUCUCUCUAAGGAACUCGGCAAAAUGACUCCGUAACUUCGGGAGAAGGAGUGCCUUAUUUUUAUAAGGUUGCAAUAACAAGAUCCAAGCAACUGUUUACCAAAAACACAGGUCUCCGCUAAGUCGUAAGACGAUGUAUGGGGGCUGACGCCUGCCCAGUGCCAGAAGGUUAAAGAAGUUGGUUAGCAUCCGCGAAGCUAGUAACUGAAGCCCUGGUGAACGGCGGCCGUAACGAUAACGGUCCUAAGGUAGCGAAAUUCCUUGUCGGGUAAGUUCCGACCCGCACGAAAGGCGUAAUGAUUUGGAUACUGUCUCGGAGAGGGACUCGGUGAAAUAGACUUGUCUGUGAAGAUGCGGACUACCUGCACCAGGACAGAAAGACCCUAUGAAGCUUUACUGUAACUUGAAAUUGAAAUUGGACUUUAUUUGCGCAGUAUAGGUGGGAGGCAUUGAGAAGAGUCUUGCGGGAUUCUUGGAGCCAUCAGUGAGAUACCACUCUUGUAAUGUUAGAUUUCUAACUUUGUAUCAUUAUCUGGUCAAAGAACAGUUUCAGGCGGGCAGUUUGACUGGGGCGGUCGCCUCCUAAACGGUAACGGAGGCGCACAAGGGUUUCCUCUGAACGGGUAGAAAUCGUAUCUAGAGUGUAAAGGCAUAAGGAAGCUUGACUGUGAGACCUACAAGUCGAGCAGGGACGAAAGACGGUCUUAGUGAUCUGACGGUGCUGAGUGGAAAGGCCGUCACUCAACGGAUAAAAGUUACUCUAGGAUAACAGGCUGAUCUCCCCCAAGAGUUCACAUCGACGGGGAGGUUUGGCACCUCGAUGUCGGCUCAUCGCAUCCUGGGGCGGUAGUACGUCCCAAGGGUUGGGCUGUUCGCCCAUGAAAGCGGUACGCGAGCUGGGUUCAGAACGUCGUGAGACAGUUCGGUCCAUAUCCGGUGUAGGCGUUAGAAUAUUGAGAGGAGCCUUCUUUAGUACGAGAGGACCGAGAAGGACAUACCUCUGGUGUACCAGUUAUCGUGCCAACGGUAAACGCUGGGUAGCUAUGUGUGGAGUGGAUAACCGCUGAAAGCAUCUAAGUGGGAAGCCCACCUCAAGAUAAGUAUUCCCAU